UACGUAGGCAGCGAGCGUUGUUCGGAGUUACUGGGCGUAAAGGGUGUGUAGGCGGUUCUCUAAGUUUGGUGUGAAAUCUCCCGGCUCAACCGGGAGGGUGCGCCGAAAACUGGGGGACUCGAGUGCGGGAUGGGAGAGUAGAAUUCCUGGUGUAGCGGUGAAAUGCGUAGAUAUCGGGAAGAACACCCGUGGCGAAGGCGGCUCUCUGGGACGGUACUGACGCUGAGACGCGAAAGCGUGGGGAGCGAACAGG
rnacentral:rRNA from 1 species